AAUUGCUGAACUUAUGAACCGAAGAGGCGAAGACAGAUACUCAAAAUCACGCACGGGUGUGUAAACCAGUGGACUCGUGGAACGGUGCCGGAGGAGUCGUGGAGAGAGCUCCUAGGGGCGAGACCACGAAAGGCAGUCACUUAGUCAGGCAGAGCUGUAGAAAUCAAAAGACUUAGAACCCGUGCGCCGUGCAAUAUGGUCCUUUUGGAUCUAGUUCGAUUUGAGAGGAAGUGAGCAACAAUACUAGAACCAGUUCGAGCAAGUGAGCAACAAUACCAGAACCAGUAUAUCAGAAUAUCAAAUCUAUCAAGAAUGCAAGAUGCAAAAAUACUAGUGUUGAAAGUUGAUGAACCAACGGGCAAGGGCAACAGUUGAAUUUCUUAAAGACUUAAAAUAGUUCAACAGCAACCUGCAAUUCUGCAAAUUAGGAGAAUCAAGACUGACUCGUACUCUACUGUAAAUUUGAAUUUUCAUUUUGAAUAUGAAUGAUUUGUAAAUUGUAAUUUGUAGAUUGUCUCUGUCUGUAGACUGUAGUCGAUUUGCAAAUGUUCAGUUGCAGCGGGCAAAAACAUGAAA